CCUACGGGAGGCAGCAGUGAGGAAUAUUGGUCAAUGGGCGCAAGCCUGAACCAGCCAAGUAGCGUGCAGGAUGACGGCCCUAUGGGUUGUAAACUGCUUUUAUAUGGGAAUAACGUGCAUUAUGUGUACUGCUUUGCAUGUACCUUAUGAAUAAGGACCGGCUAAUUCCGUGCCAGCAGCCGCGGUAAUACGGAGGGUCCGGGCGUUAUCCGGAUUUAUUGGGUUUAAAGGGAGCGUAGGCGGGUUGUCAAGCGUGCUGUGAAAGUUUGCGGCUCAACCGGGGAAUUGCAGUUGAUACUGGCGUGCUUGAGUACGGGAGAGGCAGGCGGAAUUCGUGGUGUAGCGGUGAAAUGCUUAGAUAUGACGAAGAACCCCGAUUGCGAAGGCAGCCUGCUGCACCGGAACUGACGCUGAUGCUCGAAAGCGUGGGUAUCGAACAGGAUUAGAUACCCCUGUAGUC
rnacentral:rRNA from 1 species